UCCAAUAUGGGUACCUCCUCUUCUUCUUAUGAUUCCCAUAUUAGUCUACUUGUUGAGAAAUAAACUUAAAGCUAAGCGAUCUCAGAGAAAGCAGCAACCUCCAGGGCCUCCAGGCAUUCCAAUCAUAGGCAACUUGCAUCAACUUGGCGAAUUGCGGCAUCGCACUUUGUGGCAAUUCUCCAAGAAAUAUGGUCCUGUGAUGCUUCUCCAUCUCGGUCGUGUUCCAACAGUUAUAGUCUCCUCUGCAGAUGCAGCUAAGGAGGUCUUGAAAACCCAUGAUCUCAAUUGUUGCAGUAGACCUCUCUUGGCUGGUACUGGGAAGCUAUCCUAUAACUAUCUUGACGUAGCUUUCACUCCCUAUGGCGAUUACUGGAGAGAUAUGCGAAAGAUUUGUGUUCUUGAGCUCUUCAGUGCCAAGAGAGUCCAGUCGUUUCAGUUUGUUAGGGAAGAAGAGACUGAUUUGCUCAUCAGUUCCAUCUCCAAGUUUUCUUCCUCUGCCACUCCUGUUGAUCUCAGUGAGAAGAUGAUGUCUCUCACUGCGAACAUAACUUGUAGAGCAGCAUUUGGGAAGAGUUUUCAAGAGAAAGGGUUCGGCCAUGAAAGAUUCCAAGAAGUUAUUCAUGAAGGCUUUGCUAUGCUUGGGAGCUUCUCUGCAGCUGAUUUCUUUCCUUAUGUGGGUUGGGUUGUUGAUAGACUCACAGGCCUCCACGCAAGGCUUGAAAAGAAUUUUCAAGAAUUUGAUGUUUUCUACCAGAAAGUGAUAGAGGAUCACAUCCAAAAGCAAAGCAAAGAUCCUGGAAAGGAAGAUAUUAUCGAUGUGUUGCUUGGGAUGGAGAGACCUCAAACUGAAACUGCAAUUCAAUCGUCCCAAGAUCAUAUUAAAGCGAUUCUCAUGGUAACUUAACUGGGUUUUUUCCCCUUAUUUUUCUUUAUUGAUUCAUUCAUUUGAUACGAAAAUUAAUCCUAUUGAUUACCAGAACAUAUUCCUGGCCGGAGUCGAAACCGGAGCAAUAACCAUAGUGUGGGCCAUGGCAGAGCUUGCUAGACACCCUAGAGUAAUGAAAAAAGCACAAGAAGAAAUCAGAAGUUGCAUCGGAAAUAAAACAAGAGUCUCUGAAAGUGACAUUGACAAGCUUGAAUACUUAAAGAUGAUAGUGAAGGAAACAAUGAGACUGCACCCACCAGGUCCACUGCUAAUUCCAAGAGAAGCCAUGUCAAGCUUCAGCAUAAAUGAGUAUGAGAUAGAACCCAAGACUCGAAUCCAAGUGAAUGUGUGGGCAAUAGGAAGGGAUCCCAAGAUAUGGAGAAACCCAGAAGAGUUUUUUCCAGAGAGGUUUAUAGACAAUCCCAUUGAUUUUAAAGGGCAGAAUUAUGAAUUGCUACCAUUUGGUGGUGGAAGGAGAGGCUGUCCUGGAAUCUCCAUGGGACUAGCUACUGUGGAGCUUGCACUUGCAAAUCUUCUGUUUUGUUUUGAUUGGAAGUUGCCUUUUAAUAUGAAGGAGGAAGAGCUUAACAUGGAAGAGGCGUCUGGUCUUAGUACUUACAAGAAAGCAGCUCUACUCCUAGUGCCUGUUCAAUAUCAAACUGCAUGAUAAUAAUUGAGAGAGAGAGAGCGAGAAAAAUUACAUGUUCUUACGUUGCAUUGCUUAAUUUGUAUUGAUAACAUGUGCUUUGAAUAAAAGUAAGAAAUAAUUCAUUUAAUUUUGAGGAUGAAUUUAAUUUGACUACAUUCAUAUCAUAACUAUAACUAUAUGAUAGACGGUUGGAUUUCUCACACUUAGACUGAAGUCAAAACUUAAAAAAAAAAAAAAAACAGGCACAACAUCUAAUAGACUCGAGCAGACCAGUCCAACAUCGCGUCUUCCAGCUCUUGACUAAGCAAGCCGGACUAACUCUAUGUUUAAGUCCACCAAAAGAAAGUUUAGUCCGAUGACAUGAUAAAAGAUAAGAGAGCAGCCCAGCUAUCUCGUGACCCUAUCAAUAUGUGCAUCGAAGAAAAAUUAAAUGGUUGUCUGACAAAUAUAAGUGUCCAUACAUGUGGGUCUGCGUGACACGAGGUGACAUUAUAAAAAAAUGACGGUUAUAUAUCACUAUAAAAUAAAUGAAAAAUAAAUAAGUAGGAAAAAAUUAGAUAUUUCAAAACUAAACUUAAACAUAUUUUGUAAAUUCUAUUUUUUAAAUUUCAAAAUAUCACUAUAUAAUAAAUUAUUAAUAAUUGCUAACUUUUUCUUAAAAUCUAUAUCUUUUUUCUUAAAAUUGGUGUAGAGGCGUGAUAGUUUAUUUAAAUAGUGUUUUUUAGUGUUGCCAUAUAUUAUUAUUUUCAAGAGAGUUUAAUUUUAUGAUAUUUUAUAUUAAAUAUUUAAUAUUCUUUUUUAAAAAUAGUUAAUUAUUAAAUUUCAAGGUUUUUGUGAUUCAACUUUUAAUAAAAAAAAUUUAUAGUAUUUUUAUUUCAUUUAUCAACGUUGAUAUUUCACAUAUACAUGUAUUUUUUUUAACUAUCCAUAGUAAACUUGAUUAAUAAAUUUAAUUUUUUUAAAAUAUAUACAUAUAAUGCAAACUAAUUACAUAAAGCUUGACGUUAUUUAUUUCAUUUUUUUUUAUCUCAUAUAAUAAAAUAUUAUAUAAUUAAUUUGAAUAAUAUCCGCAAUAAUACCACCCAAGCAAGCUAUCCAAUCAAGUAAUACCAAGUAAGCAAUAUUAAUAUUUAAAUCUAUUUCACACAUUUGAACAUAAAAGGUAAUACUAAGAUUUUCUAAAAAUUUAUAGAAUAGAGUCAAUAUCAUCAAAGCAAGAACCUUUCUUUUUAAUUUUUUCAAACUUGUUAGGAGAAUAAAUGUGUAAUUAAUAUUAUUUAAAUUUAUUUUAAUAUUUAUUUAAAAAUACAAUAUCGUUUCAAACUUAUACGAGACUAAAUAUAUAAUAAAUGAUAAUAUUUAUAAGACUAAAUAAGUAAUUUUUUUAAAAAAAAUUAUGAGGCUAAACAUAAGAUAUAAACUUAUUAUUAAUCUCUAAUAUUCAUAUAUCCCUAUCAUCUUUAAUGAAAUAUACGUGGCAAAAUCUUAAGAUGAGUUGUAUUUUAUAUAUUAUCAUAUAUCGUGAAAAUAAUCCUAACUAUCUUUUGUAAAUCUUCCAGGGGAUUUCUCCGCGUGCCUUGGGUCCAUUAAGCCAACAACGGCAUUUCUUUUUCUUCGUUGUGCGUAUUCAGCAUUGGUUACUAUGAUAAUUUUAUACAGCAAACACAAAAGGUGGCGGUUUUUUUAAUCAACCCCUUGGACAUAGAAGAUUUGUAUGAAGAUUUUAUUUAUUUGUUUAUUUAUUCAAAAAGAUACUUUUUCUUUAUUAUUAUUAUUAUAUUCACAUGUGAUAUUAAAGCUUAAUAUUUUAUAGGAUUUAUCAAAAAAUUUUAUGAUAAUUUGUACAGUAACAAGUGUUUAUAAUUCGCAUGGAGUGGCUAGAGAAAUCCCUUAUUCACUAUUUCGAAUUUAAAAUUUUAAAAAUUUAAUUUCAUUGAUUUUUUUAAAAAAAAUUUAUUUAAAAUAGUUUAAUUAUUUUAUUUUGAAAGAAAUUUUAUAAAAAUUUAUUUGAAUUUUUUUAUAAAAUGAAUCAUUAAUGAAGUAGUAAAAAAAUCCAUUGAAAAAAAAAAUCAUUAAUCAUUAAAUAAAGUAUUAAAAGGCAUUUUUCAUAAAAAAAAAAAUGCAUUAAAAAUAGAGUUUGGUGAGAAUUCCAUCUCAGAUGAGGCUGCAUAUGUUAAAUUAAAAUAACGUGUAUUAAUAAUUUCAAAUUCUUUAUAAUAAUCCAUUUCAAAAAAAAAAAGAAUUCUUUAUAAUAAUUUCUACAAUCAUGUGAUGAUGAAUAUAUUUAAUUUAUAUUCAUAAUUAAAUGAUUAUGAUGAACUCCAUCAAGUAAAGCACCCAUCUUGAGCAAAUUUCAGGCUCCAAUUUAUCCCAAAAAAGCUGCUAGAGCUACUUCCAAAACAUCAAAUGGCUUCUCCAGUAUGGCUAACUCCUCUUCUGCUUAUGAUUCCUGUAUUAUUCUACCUUUUGAAAAAUAAAAUUCAAGCUCAGCGAUCACAGAGAAAGCAGCAACCUCCAGGGCCUCCAGGCAUUCCAAUCAUAGGCAACUUGCAUCAACUUGGCGAAUUGCGGCAUCGCACUUUGUGGCAAUUCUCCAAGAAAUAUGGCCCUGUGAUGCUUCUCC
rnacentral:lncRNA from 1 species